rnacentral:pre_miRNA from 1 species
CAUGCAAUUGCUGGGUUAUAUGGUAACUCCAUGUUUAAUUUUUUAGAAACCACUAGACUGUUUUUCACAGUAACUGAACCAUCUUACAUUCUUACGAGAAAU